rnacentral:rRNA from 1 species
GAGUUUGAUCCUGGCUCAGAACGAACGCUGGCGGCAGGCCUAACACAUGCAAGUCGAACGCCCCAGCAAUGGGGAGUGGCGCACGGGUGCGUAACACGUGGGAAUAUGCCCUUGACUGCGGGACAACGUCGGGAAACUGACGCUAAUACCGCAUAAUGUCUUCGGACCAAAGAUUUAUCGGUCAAGGAUUAGCCCGCGUCUGAUUAGCUAGUUGGUGAGGUAACGGCUCACCAAGGCGACGAUCAGUAGCUGGUCUGAGAGGAUGAUCAGCCACACUGGGACUGAGACACGGCCCAGACUCCUACGGGAGGCAGCAGUGAGGAAUAUUGGACAAUGGAGGCAACUCUGAUCCAGCCAUGCCGCGUGAGUGACGAAGGCCUUCGGUUGUAAAGCU